AUGCAUAUGGCUCGUAUUAUCGACAUGAAUUCAUUGAAUUCCAUGUCAGUGUCUUGCAUGGACAGACUUUUAAGCCAGUUUUGCUGGAGUAUCUCUUUGUUGAUGGACUUCUAGUCAGCCUUGUAGAAGUUCAGGUUGGCUACCACUUGGGGGAGAAAGUGUGAGUGAAAGGAGAGGAAGAGAGAGAGAG